UACGAAGGGGGCUAGCGUUGUUCGGAAUUACUGGGCGUAAAGCGCACGUAGGCGGAUCGAUCAGUCAGGGGUGAAAUCCCAGGGCUCAACCCUGGAACUGCCUUUGAUACUGUCGAUCUGGAGUAUGGAAGAGGUGAGUGGAAUUCCGAGUGUAGAGGUGAAAUUCGUAGAUAUUCGGAGGAACACCAGUGGCGAAGGCGGCUCACUGGACCGGAACUGACGCUGAGGCGCGAAAGCGUGGGGAGCAAACAGG
rnacentral:rRNA from 1 species